UACGGGGGGGGGCAAGCGUUGUUCGGAAUUACUGGGCGUAAAGGGCUCGUAGGCGGCCAACUAAGUCAGACGUGAAAUCCCUCGGCUUAACCGGGGAACUGCGUCUGAUACUGGGAUGGCUUGAAUCCGGGAGAGGGAUGCGGAAUUCCAGGUGUAGCGGUGAAAUCGCGUAGAUAUCUGGAGGAACACCGGUGGCGAAGGCGGCAUCCUGGCCGGCAU
rnacentral:rRNA from 1 species